AGAAACGAUUGCCCAAAUUGAAUUCCAUUUCAUAACCACAUCUUUAUUUGAACGUUCAACUGUAUAUGCACUCCUUGCAAUUCAACUAACUAUUGAAUACGCUUACCUUAGGCUAGUUAGCCGACUAAUACAAAUCAUCAGAAACAGUCCAAGUCUUAUUAGCAUAAUUGAAUUAUAGCUCAAAAGAGACAACCAAUAACAGUAACAUGUCACAAAAAUCUACAUUUUUAACUAAACAAUAACACUAAAGGUCCCAAUAAAAAUAUGCAUUUUUUCAUUAUAUAAACUUUAAAAAUGGUCUUCUAUGCGUGAACACAACUUCAACAUUACUUGAGCCUGGGAAUAUACUUGGAAGGUGAAAUAAAGAAGAAGAAACGAGGUCAGCAGCAAUAGAGGUCACAUCAGUAGAUCGAAAUCAAGCUCACAACUCAAUAUUCAGCAUCAUAUCAGUCCAAAAAAUUUCAGCAGCUCAGAGAGGUUUUAGAAAACAAUACACAAGCGACAAAUAUACCAAAACAACACUAACUAACCCUAGAGCAUACCCAACACCGCUUAAAAAAAUUCAGCAAACAAAAACUUCACCAAAAACAGUUAAGUAGACCACAACAACUCGAAAUCAAGUAGUGUACUUCACAGAAACUUCAGUAAUCAAGUAUUAGACUAGAAGAUGAGAAUCACUAACGAAUAUUGAAAUUAGCCUGAAAUUCCUAAUGAAACACUAUUUUGGGGGAAUUUUGAGGGUUUUCUAUUGUUUUUGUUUUUUUUAAUUUGAAUAUCAGUUUUCAGAUCUGAAGAAUUGAAAGAACAUUUGUCUUUGGGGGAAUUCUGUGGCUCAAAACUUGCGUGUUAAGGCAUUGACAUGCCCUUUUAUAGGCAAUAAUAAGGGCAACCCAUAAAUUUUCAGUUUUCAGUCUCAGUCCGUUAUUAAUUUUUAUUUUUACUUACAUGUCUCUUAUUCCCUGACUUGCUACUCAAGUUAAUACCCUACCAUUAUGAAACCUACACUUGAGCCCUAAUGAAUUCUACUCUAAUCUACAUCCCACAUGUCCAAUUCCAAUUACUCAAAUAUCCUUGAUUACCCCCUGAAACUACUAAACAAAUUGAUUCAAUUCUAAUUACCAGAGUAUGAUUAUUGAACACACAGAACAAAACCUACUCUAUUAAUUCUAAUAGCUAAUAACAUAGUAGAUGCUAAUAAUUGAAUUAUUAAACUACAACUUCAAAACACAAAAUCAGAUAUUGAAAGACUAGUUAAUCCUAACACCAUAAUCAUCUACAUUAUAAUCUAGUCUAAACUAACAAAUCGAAAUAGUCAGAACUAACCGAUACUUAAUAACUAAACUAACAAAAUAAAAAUCAGAAUUAAACUAACAUGAACCAAUUAACUAACAUUUGAACAUGAAUUUGACCAACGUUAGACCAAACCAAACCAAUAUAGCAUCGGAAUUAAUACAAGACUCAAUACCAAAUAAACGCGAAAUAAACUAAUAAGAAUCAAAAUAUAUAGAAGAACAAAAAUAACUAAAAAAUGAAUAGAAAACUCACUGAAUGCAGAUUUCUCGCGGCCAUUUAUUUUGGUUAAUGUUAUAUGUCUAUUUCGUCAAAAAAAGACAGAUAACAUCAAAUAAAAAUGAACCGACCUGGAAACUCAAAAAAAUCGACUUAAAACUUAAGAACCCUAUAUUUGGAACUUGAGACGGCCUGGUGAAAUUUGAGAGUUUUUGGCUUGGGAUUCAAGGUAAUGGAGUCAUGGGAUUGUGGAGUGUGAAUUUAAGCCAGUUUUGACAAAGUUGUGUUUUAGGCUUCAAACAAAAAUUCGAGAGGGCGGGUUUUGGUUCGAAAGAAACUAAGGGCAUUGUUAGAAGGAGGAGAGUGAGUAGAGUGAAGAGUGUUAGUUUGGGGUUCUUUGGUUGUGGAGCCUCCUAGGGUUCAGAAGAUGAGGAGAUGAAGAAGAUAACCUGGUGAAAUUUUGGGGGUGAUAAUAGCCACCACGCCAGCGCUGGCGAUUUCCGGUAGCGAUUUCAAGCGGAGAGGGGCGGCAUUACACUGGAGGUUUUGAGGGGGACAAAACGGGGGGUGGAGGUAUGGUCAAUGUGACUUAAAUACUUUU
rnacentral:lncRNA from 1 species